GAAGUGGGAUAAUGGUGCAGAGAUGCUUGGGAAAUUAAAAGUUACCAUGGGGAUGUAAAAAUCCCUUUGCCUCCGGGUGCUUCGCAUGACAAACUUCUCUGAGGUCUUGACUUAAGCAUCACCUCCACAGAGAUGCCUUUCCCGACUACCUAUUAAAAGUUUGCCUCUCCUCCCUCCCUCCCCAUCAUUGACCAGUGUUUUACUCUUGCAGCACCUCUCAACAGCUGAAGUAGUUAGAUGUGUUUAGUACUUUCCUGCCGAUUCAUUUUGUUUCUGCCACUUUUAAGUCCCACGAAGGAGGCUCUGCCUGUCUGAUUCACCAUUCUGUCCCCAGUGACUAGAAUAUAACUGGCCCAGGUGCUCAAUCCACCUGCUGAAUGAAUAUUUGGGGCAAAAUGUGAUCUAGCCACAGCAUUAGAGUGAGACUAAGCUGCAAUGAUGGGUUUGUGUCCUGGCUCCAUCUCUUCCUAGCUGUGUGACCUCAGCACAGUUCCCAGCCAGUCCUGUGUGGAAAGAGGACAGAAGAGGAAUUGAGGAAUGCAGAUUGUUGUGGGUGGUGACGGAGGCAAGGAAGAAUUCAGGGACCCUGGAGGAGACACUGGCUCCGUUCAUCCCCCAACACAGCGUGCCCACAUCUGCCUCCAGUGGGGAGAAGCAAGAACGAGGGAGGAGAAUGCACAGAGGCAGAGGCAGGCAGGACCCUGAAACUCACCUUAGCUGUUGGCAGUUCUAGAACACGACGUCCCCUGUUCACCUGCUAGAGGAACAGAAGGGGGACCUGACAUCACCUCCAGAGCCACCUAACAUGCAGCGGGCACCUCUUAUUUGCCUGUUAGCCCCUCAUUCUUUCUUUCCCCACCCUCUGAGGAAACAGUAUUUUUUCCUGGUAAUUUCUUUCUUUGCUUUAACUUUAUCGUUUUCAUAGAAAUUUCUGUUUCCUUCUGUGACCCUUGUACUGCUCCCUCUGCCCCCGCCACAGGCCAAGGGAUUGGCCCAGGAGGAGCGCUAGACCCACCAUAGUCUCUCUGUGGCCUCGCUCUUGGAUUUUUAAGCUCGAAGUCUAAAGCUGUCUUUCUCCUGGUACGGAGAAGAGUAGAAGAAAAAGAUCAACAAUCAGCUUUCCGCAGGAUGGAAUCUGUGCACCUGCCUGGGUCUGAUCCCGGGUUUUCUCUUUACCAGCAGUGUCCUGGACAUGUCAUUACACCUCUCUGUGCCCCGGUUUCUUUAUCCAUAAAAUAGCAUUGCUCUAGCCUUCAAUCAGUUAAUAAUGUAAAGUGCACUGGUCACUGGUGUGCACACCCUGGGCACUCUAUAAAUGUUCAUGGCGCUACAGCAGCUGCAGCAACAGAAGCAGUCAUGGAACUGGGUAGUAUUAUUUUUUUUUGUGGAAAGACAAGGGUGCCAGGGAGCGAGAGAAUCCUGGUGGUGCUCAUGUUUCUUGGUUCAAGUUCAUCUCUAAGUUCUGCUGCAAAUCCCUCCAUCUUGGAGCUUGAUCUUUUAAACUUGCUUAGAUCCUGUGAGUUAAUCUGUGCCCUUUUCUCUUAUCUGGCUGAGCUCUUUCUGAAACUUGCCACCAAAACUCCAAUAACUAAAUGUAUUGAGUACUCUGUACGUUUAAUAUAAAUGCAUUAAUCAUGAAAGAAAUAUCAUAAAUACUCCUGACUGUUAAUUAGAAAUAACAAAGUUUAACAUUUGGACAGUUUUGCUUUGGAUUUACUAGUAAUUAUUAUGACAUAAAAUGCGACAGAUACCCUUGGAGCCCCCUUGGCAUUCCUCAGCCCCGCCUGCCUUCCUGCUUUCCCAGAGAAAACUACUGUCUUGGUGAGCAGCCUUCAUUCCCACAAUUUAUACAUUUACUGCACACACACGUGUAUCAGUAGGUAAUAUAAGGUCUUGAAAUGCAGUAGCUUUGUACUAUGCAGAGCUUAACAUUCUGCAGUUUGCUUUAGCAAUCAACACAUGAAUAAGUCCAGUUUUUCCACUGUAAGUGUGGCAUUUUUUUAUUGUUAUUAAAUAUGACACAAUUUAUCUGUUUCUCUCCUGAUGAACACAGAGGUAUUUUCUCUUACUUAAACACUUUUUUUUUUCUCACAAGUGAUUAGCAUGUUUGUGCAUUUCUUCUUGGGUCCGUGUGAGCAUUGCACUAGAACACACCCUCUAGAGAAGAGGAGUUACAGCUGAUAAGCUUGGGCAUCUUUAUCCUUACCGCCACAUCACCCAAAUCCACACCAUGAGCAGUGCAUGCAGGGUCCCAACAACAUUUGGUAUUGUCACUUACAAAGAACACCAAUGUUUUGGGUGUAUAAUGACAUUUUUUAGUUGUUUCAAUGACAUCUCCUGGAUAAAUGGAAAAGUUGAGGAACUUCUCAUGUGUUUCUUGGUCAUUCAUAUUUUCUUUGCAAAGAAUCAGCACAUGUGACUUUUGCUAAUUUUCCAUGGCAUUUUUUGACCCUUCCUUAUGGAACACUAAGAAUUCUUAUAUUCUGUUUCUAAUCACUAGUCAACUAGAUGACUUCUCCAAGUCUGAAGCUUGUCUUUCACAUUUUUAUGAUGUCUAUGAUUUUAUGAAAAAUUGUAGUCAAAAUUCACAAAAUUGUUUUCUCUAUGGUGCCUUUUGAUGUCUUUUUCAAGAAAUUCUGAAUUACUGAAUUGUGAAUAUAUUCUUCUGUAUUUACUUCUUGUUAAAGUUAUAAUCUUGAUUUUUAUGUGUUAUGUAUUUAUUAAACCUAGAAUUUGUUUUUCUGAGGUGUAAUUUCUUCCUAUAUGCUGAUGAUUUGUAGUAGCACAUUGUGAUAAAGUUUUCCUUUAUUCCUCCAGUUCCUCCAUUGUGAUAUCACCCUUGUUAUUAUUGAGUGUCUCUGUCCUGUGUCUCUGUCCUUGACACCCCAUCCCAUUAAUUCCAUGUUUUAUCUACUUAAUUCUGGGUCAUUCUUUAUUGCUAUUGCUUAAGAAUUGUAUCUCAUGGGAAUGUACCCUUAGUAGUUUCUAAAUUUAUCUAUAAAUUCUUUGCCAUUCAUUGCCCAGUGGGGCCUAAUUCCCUUCUCCUUGAUUCUGGGAAGGUUUCAGGGACGAUUUCUAACUAAUGUGACAGAAAUGAUCCCAUGACUUCCAAUACCAAGUCCUAACAAGUGAUACAGCUUCUGGUAGGUGCUCUCCUGGGAUAUUUUCUUUCAGAACUCAGCCACCAUGCUGUGAGGAAGCCCAACAGCCAUCAGAGGGCUCAAUCAUGGAGGUGCAGCCAAAAACCCAGCUGUGGUCCCAGCCAGCAGUCAGCAUCAGCCACUGCAGUGGGGAGAUCUGGCUUCAGGUGACUCUAGUCCUGAGUGACAUCCCUAGCAUCCCCUGGAAGCAGAAGUGAGUCUUCCACUGUGAACUGCUCUGUGUGGAUUUAUGAACAAAAUAAAUCACUGUUGUUAAGCAA